AAUAGAAUAGAAGAGAAGAGAUGAGACGCGGGAGAUCGACAAGGGCGGCGGCGGCCCCUCCCAGAUCCGCCAGCGCCGUCGUUCGUCAAGGUCAUGGGCUUUCUCUUCGAUCUGGCCUCACCUCGACGGAGGGCACGCUCGAGAUGGAGCGCCGGGAAAGGACCUGCGCGUCGGCCGUGCGUGCAUGAGGAGACGUCCGCCAGAUUGAGACCCCGAUCCGCCACGGUCGCCUGGAGUUUAUGUUUGGCUGGCUCCGCUCCCGGACGGACGACCUCCCGAGAGAAUCACGUUUCAGGCCAUUCAGUGGAUCGGAGUCAUCCCUUCCAUCCUCUCUUCGGCGCGCACCUCUCGCCAUGGUGGUCCACCGCUCGUUGCCUGCUGCCACUGUUGGGGUCAGCGAGACCCACCAUUCCACCUGCCGUCAUAAUGCAGUUCAUGGUGCCGUGCUCAAGGUGCUGAAGAGCUAUAUCCAUGGAUGUAUUGCAUCGGGCAACCCAGCUCAUCCCUACUCUGUAGUGGCGGACACACCAGUUUGAAGGGGGCUGAAGUUCAGAGAGGAUUGGGGUUAAGGUUCAGAUAGGUUAUUCCUUGUUUUUUUUGGUCUUGUUGCUAACCACACAUUCAUUUCAGAGAGGUACAUCAUGCGGGCAAAGUGGUUGCUAGUGUAAAUGACACUAGGAGCUGCACAAAUGACCGUCUUCAUCUCCAUGGAUGUUGGAAGGUCACAUGUGAUGGUACAACAUACGUGAUGUGAAUCAGUUGCUGAUUGUGAGCGUGACUUGAUUCUGUUUGGCUUGUCCAAGAAAGAGAACAUGCUACAUAUACGCUUGUCUGGGCAGGUUCGUUCUUUCAUCGUUAGUACAUAAAUCUACAAACCAUCUUGAACUACCGAGCUAUUAACUGGUCAUAUGUGGGCACUGUUGGAAUUAUGUGUCCUCAACUAUAUUCAAAUAUUGAUAUAGGGAUUACUAAUAUUUGAAAUACCUCAUUAUGGAAUUACACAUGUAUUUAUGCAUGAAAUUGCUUUACAUGAUUGUCACUUGUUGGAAUGUACUUAAGUUAUAUCCUUAAGGAAGUUGGUCGAUUAUCACUGGACCAAAAAAAACACGCCGGCUUCAUCACAUGAGAAGUUGCAAACAUGCAACGAGGGCUAAGGCCUGAACGUGUUAAUCGAGGAAGUAGUUGCUCGAUUGUAAGUUGUGAGACUCAAGGAGUGACGUGCUAUUUCCACUUAGCACGUGGACAGAGAAUCAAUUGGAUCAUAGCCAAUUUAUGUCAUCAGUCUUGAAAGUUCAGGUUACUAUUUCUUCUACUACUAAUAUUUAUCUUGCACUACGAAGAGCAAGGAAGCUUGGAAGAAAAGGCAGAGGUAUUAUCUUGGCACAAGGAACGAGGAAAAUAUCUUUGCUGCUGCUUGCAUGUUCAGAGGAUUUGAGCCUGCCUGCGGCUGAUUCAUUCGAAUUGGAAUUUCUUCAGCACGUCCUUAUAUCGACUCCCUUCACAUAACAAUUUGUUGGACAGCCGCUCUAGACGACGUACACCGGAAUUUGGUGUACGCUGGAACACAUACUCUUGCGAUGAGGAAUGCACAUGCUAAAUACACACCACCAUGUGGUUGUGUCCGCACUUCUAGUUGUUGAUAUGCUAGAAUCUUGAUUACACAUAAUUGAUGCUUGAAUACGUUCAAGGGAGAGAAGGCAUUAAACACUUUCUUGUUGAUACAUGUGGAAAACGGAAUACUUGAGGAGAAUGCUUUUCUUUUCCAGUUUCUUCAUUGGAAGUUGAUGUCACUUGUUUUGGAAGAAGUUGGGAGACACUACAUACAAAAAAAAGGAAUUCGUAUUUUGACUUAACGGAGAUGAAGUUUACUCCUUGGAAGAAUACUAGUCCCUACGAAAAAUAAUAAUCCAGAGGUCCUUGGAUCAUGGAAGACUGGAUGGAUUUGCGGUUACUCCGGUGCAAAGAUAGCAUCGACAUUGUGCAUAACUUGGAGAGGGGUUUCAGACAAGUAUUAUUAUUGAGCAUCACUUGUGUAUGGAGGAAUAUGAUAGCCACUCUGAGGACAAGGAAAUUUGCUCUUCUUUUGCCGGAAAAUUGAUGUGUUUUUUGGUAUUGGAAAUUAUGUCCUAAAACUCCGUUUUGGAGGGAAAUUAGUAUUAAUGGAUACGCUAUUAUGCUAACCUUGCAUCGGAAGGAAUUAAAAAAGUGUCUAUUAUGGCAAUCACUUAUUUAUGGAGGAAGAUGGAACCACUCUGUGGAAAAUGGCGGAAAUUUGCUCUCACUUGAUGUAUCAAAGGGAAUUUUAUAUAUUGUGUGUUUUGCCAUUGCUGCUAAAUCUUAUACACUUUGGAAUUGGAAAUUUUGCCAUGGAACUCCGUGGUAGAGGAAAAGUAUUAUUUUUAUAGGACACUCUAUGCAACUUCGAUGUGAAGGUAUUUGAUUUAUUGUUAUAUCUUUGGAAUUUAUUGAUUAUGACAUAUUAUUUGGAAAAGGAA